rnacentral:lncRNA from 1 species
AUCAAUAGAUAGUCGCAUUUAAGAGAAAGUUGAGUAAAAUAAAACAUCCAUCAAGCUUCCAUUAUCUACAAGAUUUUUUUUUACAUCAUGAUUAGCUAUCAUUAUCGAAAUAAUAACAGCAUCAUCAUGGGGCAUUUGAAUUUUUCGAACAUCUUCUUCCAAAAAAGUUAUGACAUUAUUGAGUCAUCAUCUCUUUGCCGAUUUUUCUUCGAAAGUUGCCCCGC